rnacentral:lncRNA from 1 species
CAAUUUUUGAUUUGAAGCUUAUAACCCAUGGAGUUAACUUAUAUUUUAUAAUUACGUGCAGCUGCUCAAGGGAGUUCUCAGCACCAGUCACAGUGCAAGCCCCCUCUCUGAGCAUGAUGCCAAGGCAGGAGGAGACCCCAGGAGGAGAGGCUGCGCUCUGGUCACUCUGCCUGCAAGAUGCCUCCUGUACUCAACUGGUUUUCCGACUUGCUCUUUUUCUACCUCCAUUUUGAGCUUCAAAAGAUUCUGUAAGAUUCUAGCCUUAUACUGGUUGUUUUUCUGCAGGUAAAUAAAAUAUGGCAUAGCGGGACCUAUCACUUACACUAAAGGAAUAGGAUGUGUAUUCUGCUGCACUUCUCGUUUUCUUUUCAAUUUUUAAAUUUUAUUUUUAAAAAAAAAUUUUUCAUUUACUCAUUU